CCUACGGGUGGCAGCAGUGGGGAAUAUUGCGCAAUGGGCGAAAGCCUGACGCAGCGACGCCGCGUGAGGGAUGAAGGUCUUCGGAUCGUAAACCUCUGUCAGCAGGGAAGAACGGUCACUGUGCUAAUCAGCAGUGAAUUGACGGUACCUGCAAAGGAAGCACCGGCUAACUCCGUGCCAGCAGCCGCGGUAAUACGGAGAGUGCGAGCGUUAAUCGGAAUUACUGGGCGUAAAGCGCUCGUAGGCGGUAUGUCAAGUCAAGGGUGAAAUCCCCGCGCGCAACGUGGGAACUGCCUUUGAUACUGGCAAACUGGAGUGUGUGAGAGGAUAGUGGAAUGUGAGGUGUAGGAGUGAAAUGCGUAGAUAUCUGGAGGAACAUCAGUGGCGAAGGCGACUAUCUGGCACAUAACUGACGCUGAGGAGCGAAAGCGUGGGUAGCAAACAGGAUUAGAUACCCUGGUAGUC
rnacentral:rRNA from 1 species